rnacentral:rRNA from 1 species
AGGACGAACGCUGGCGGCGUGCUUAACACAUGCAAGUCGAACGGUGAACCCUUCGGGGGGAUCAGUGGCGAACGGGUGAGUAACACGUGAGCAACCUGCCCUUGACUCUGGGAUAACCCCGGGAAACCGGAGCUAAUACCGGAUAUGACACGCGGAGGCAUCUCCUGUGUGUGGAAAGAUUUAUCGGUCAGGGAUGGGCUCGCGGCCUAUCAGCUUGUUGGUGGGGUAAUGGCCUACCAAGGCGACGACGGGUA